GACGAACGCUGGCGGCGUGCUUAACACAUGCAAGUCGAACGGAAAGGCCCCAGCUUGCUGGGGUACUCGAGUGGCGAACGGGUGAGUAACACGUGGGUGAUCUGCCCUGCACUCUGGGAUAAGCCUGGGAAACUGGGUCUAAUACCGGAUAGGACCGUGCUUUAGUGUGUGCGGUGGAAAGUUUUUCGGUGCAGGAUGAGCCCGCGGCCUAUCAGCUUGUUGGUGGGGUAAUGGCCUACCAAGGCGGCGACGGGUAGCCGGCCUGAGAGGGUGUACGGCCACAUUGGGACUGAGACACGGCCCAGACUCCUACGGGAGGCAGCAGUGGGGAAUAUUGCACAAUGGGCGCAAGCCUGAUGCAGCGACGCCGCGUGGGGGAUGACGGCCUUCGGGUUGUAAACCCCUUUCGGCAGGGACGAAGCUUGUGUGACGGUACCUGCAUAAGAAGCACCGGCUAACUACGUG
rnacentral:rRNA from 1 species